rnacentral:rRNA from 1 species
AUUGAACGCUGGCGGCAUGCCUUACACAUGCAAGUCGAACGGUAACAGGUCUUCGGAUGCUGACGAGUGGCGAACGGGUGAGUAAUACAUCGGAACGUGCCCGAUCGUGGGGGAUAACGAAGCGAAAGCUUUGCUAAUACCGCAUAAGAUCUACGGAUGAAAGCAGGGGACCGCAAGGCCUUGCGCGAACGGAGCGGCCGAUGGCAGAUUAGGUAGUUGGUGGGAUAAAAGCUUACCAAGCCGACGAUCUGUAGCUGGUCUGAGAGGACGACCAGCCACACUGGGACUGAGACACGGCCCAGACUCCUACGGGAGGCAGCAGUGGGGAAUUUUGGACAAUGGGCGAAAGCCUGAUCCAGCCAUGCCGCGUGCAGGAUGAAGGCCUUCGGGUUGUAAACUGCUUUUGUACGGAACGAAAAGACUCUUUCUAAUAAAGAGGGUCCAUGACGGUACUGUAAGAAUAAGCACCGGCUAACUACGUGCCAGCAGCCGCCGCGGUAA